rnacentral:lncRNA from 1 species
GUGUGAACUCCUUCUUCUUGAUUCUCUUGUCAUGCCACCUCUUGACUCUUUCUUUGUAGAUCUUUGAAUUGUGAUAUGCCUUCUCUCGCCAUUCUUCCAAUUCUGAUAGUUGCAUUCUUCUAUAAUCUCCAGCAACAUCUAGGUCCAUAUUCCAUCUCUUUAUGGCCCAGUGUGCUUUGAACUCUAGUUCAACAGGUAGAUGGCAAGUCUUCCCGUACACCAAUUGGUAUGGAGACAUUCCGAUUGGGGUCUUGUAUGCUGUCCGGUAUGCCCAGAGUGCAUCGGGUAACUUGUCUUUCCAUGCCGUUCCCAUUUCAUUUACUGUCUUCUGAAGAAUAUUCUUGAUUUGUUUGUUGGA